UUGGAGGGCAAGUCUGGUGCCAGCAGCCGCGGUAAUUCCAGCUCCAAUAGCGUAUAUUAAAGUUGUUGCAGUUAAAAAGCUCGUAGUUGAAUUUCGGAAUCAGUGCGCUGGUCGUGCCUCUGGUAUGCACUGGUGUUACUGAUUUCUCCCUUCUGAAGAACUAUCAUGCCAUUAAUUUGGUGUGGUAGGGAAUCAGGACUGUUACUUUGAAAAAAUUAGAGUGUUUAAAGCAGGC
rnacentral:rRNA from 1 species